rnacentral:rRNA from 1 species
GUAGGAGCAAAACUCAAAAACCGGUACCCAGUUCGGACUGCAGGCUGAAACUCGCCUGCACGAAGUUGGAGUUGCUAGUAAUCGCAGAUCAGAAUGCUGCGGUGAAUGCGUUCCCGGGUCUUGUACACACCGCCCGUCACACCAUGGAAGUUGGGGGUGCCCAAAGUCGGUUAGAAAAUAGACUGCCUAAGGCAAAACCAAUGACUGGGGUGAAGUCGUAACAAGGUAUC